GCCCCCACGGUCUGGCUGCUCGAAGCACGGGUCCCGACCCAAACCCCGUGCCUCCGAGAGGCCCCGAGCGAUGUCUCACGAGCGGUGCCCUCUGCGGAAACGCCUUCGUCGCCGGGAACGGCAGGGAGAUGGGGUGACGGCAGCUUCAGGUGCUGAGACACAAUAAAAACAAUGAGGAAAGAAAAUGUUUGCUUUUUGUGUCAGCGGAGAUGUCAGUACCCAUUAAUAAAUCUAUCUGCUAAAUCUGCUCUUAUUCAUGUGGGACACCACCAAGUUAAAGUAAAAUAAAUUAUCUUUAAUUAAAUGGAAUUGUCGUCUUCCUCCUGCUAUCAUCCCCAAUUAUUACAUCCUAAUCAGCCCUUUUGGGAGAAGGCAUGAGGGAAGGCUGAAAGGCACAUUUACUAUAAACAACUUCUCUCUCUGUCAAGAGAUGGAAAUUUUAUUUUAAUUAUUGUUUAGGACUCCGAUUUUUACCCUUUUUUUUUUUUCUGAUGAAAGGGAUUAAAAGUUUAAAACGCCAUCAUUCAAAGCAAGAAAGAAAUCUGCUCGUGUCAUCACUGCAGAGCCAUUUCCUCUCGGGCCCUCCUACGAUUAAAGCCCAGAGCGAGGCAGGAGCAGCGAGGAGACACGCGAGUCCUUUGGGUCGCCUUCUUUAGCGUGAUUUCCAGCGGGAGAUCUCCGUUCGAAAAAAACGUUCUGGCCGAAGACGGGAGGUGAAGACAUCGGGAGGGCUACGAAGCCCACCCCGUGCCCGACCCCAGGCGCUGCACCCAAGGCUGAGCCUCCUGGGACCAGGGGCACUGGCACGGGGCGAGCACGGCAGCGCCCGGGAGCCCACGAGGCUGGCAGGUGCCCGCAGGAAGCACCGAAGGCUCCCAGGCAGCUUUGGGUGGGCUCGAUCCGACUCCGCCGCGUGAGCACGGGCGGACUCAAAAGGAGCAAAGGAGCAGUGCUCGAAGGCUGCGGUGAGCUGCGCGCAGCUGUCCCGGAGAAGUUUGGUUUGCUCGUGUUUAAAAAGCACUUUGGACGAAGGGUACUCCCGGGGUCUGGUUUUCCAACGCGCUCGGAGCCGUGGUUGCCCCAGUCCCGUGACUGCAUGUAAAUGAAGCACUCGUGCCUGCGCCUGGGUCGGCUCCGCGUGGCUGGAACCCUUUGUGCGCAGCCUGGAUAUGCAACCACCGUAAUUGUGCACGCAAAUGAGGCCCACAAAAAGGCCCCGGCACCGCCGGCAGAAGCGAGGAGCACGGGCGUGAGCGGCGCCGCGCGCUGGGACUCGCGCCGAGGGCUGCAGGUAGCUCGGACAACCUGCCUGAGAGCGGAGAGAAAACCCCACCCAAGUGCUGGGACGUUACAAAUACCCAAAGAACAAACACCCCCCCCGCCCCGUUUUCAAAUAAUGACAAUUUAACCCCAAACAGUUUACGGGACACGUUAUCAGCACCACGUGAACGGUGAACGCCACGUUCACUUGCCGGAAACCCUCCGCCACAUAAUUCCCAAAAUAACCCCUCAGCUAAAAUUUACCAGCGAUGCACCAAAUCUCCUAUCAAGUUCUGACCGUCCAAGAUCACCAGGAGUUGGAGCUGCACUUUUCUAAUUAAACUUCAGAGCCUGCGCAGUUUUUAGAAGCGUGUUCCUCUCCCUGCCAAUUUUGUUUUCGCUCGCUUGUCGGCCGCGAAGGCCCCGAACACGCUCUGAACAACCGCUGCCCAAUUACGGGACGAGAUAAAUUUCGGAUAAUAACGAGAUUAUUCACUCGAGAGAAAAUACAGAUUACGGCAAGAACUGGAAAAAGGAAGAACCCCUCUGUUCCGAUUAAUUAAUGCAACCUUUUAAAAAAAAAAAAAAAAACGCACUUUUCAGGGUGUAGCACUGUUUUCAUUUAACGCUGCUUUGAAUUGCCGCCUACAGAAGUUAAAAAAAAAAAAAAAGGAAAAGAAAGAAACCACAGCUAUACAAGCCUGCUGACUUCUUAUAAAAGAACCAGUUUUAAACUUGUUUACACUACUGAUUCCAAAUGAAUUCAAGAUGGUGGCUAGUUAAAGAAAGGGAGACCAUGCCAAGGAUUUUGAUCAAAGACCUUCAAUUCAACAAUGUUCAGUUUUAAUUGACCACUAAUUAAGCUACAUUAGUCAAAGAAAAGUCUCUAUCACUUCUGAGUGACGAAGAAAAGAAUUCCUUUAACCCUGUCCUCGUCCUCCUUCAGCCAGCUCGCGGAAAAGCAGCUUCUCGAGUAUCAGCCUUGGAAGCAUUUCCAGUAUCAAUAUGCCAACAACAUUUUUUUUGAGCAGCAAAAAAAACCAAAAAACCUAAAAAGAAGUGUCGGAGGAGGGCUGGCUCUGCCAGCGAGCAUUCUUCCCUCGCAGGGCGAAGCCGUCCCACAGACGGCGGCGUUCCCACGCGGCGAGGAGCAGGCUGCCAGCGGGAUCGGGCUCGUGGGCCGCCCGGGCUGUCGCGCGGGUCCCCGCUGAGCGAACAGGCGGAAAAUCCAGCGGCUCGCAGCUGCUUGGCACCGCAGGGCCGGGAGAGGGAGAGCCGCCGUGGAACUACUCGCAGACACGUUCUGGGGAUGCGCACUUCCCUACGCGCACACGCCGCGGCCGUGGUUUGGACUAGCUACGAGAAAAGCCUCCGCGACAGGGUCCCACGCGGGCGGCGACGUGCGAUGGGGAGCGCCCGUCCUCGCCACGCCAAAGCCCUUUAUUCAUGCACGACUCUGGUUGGAGCACGCCGAAGGAAACCUACGCCUAAUGAAAAGUCUGCUGCAGAAUUAGGCUCUGGGAACGCAGUAGGGAAUGAAAUAUCGGUGCUCAAUUUGGUGUUUAUGUCUUUUAAAAGUCUGCAGGAUCAGAUAAAUCAGAGGGAGCAAACAGAUGCCAACGUUAGCUUGCUUCGAGCAGCAAGGUCUGGAACGGAGGCUGGGAGAUGGCACCGGGACGGUCGAGCAGGUUUGAAGGAAGGCAAAAAGUUCUCGGCAUUCCUGUUCCCCGCUCACGGAGAAGUUUGCACGAUGCAGCGAGCAGCACGGCGGCUCUGCAGCUCCACAGCGUCGCAGCUCUCUUUGAUGAGGGCUACACUUGCGGCCUUAACUUGCAUUAUAUUUUAUCCUAAUGAUUUUUGGCAACAAACUACUGCAUUUCAUAUAAUAGAAUUUAAUGAGUACCAUAUCUUUUUUUAACAUUCUGCCAAAUGCUCAUUAAAAUGCACUUGUUUUUGCAAUGCAAUAGCUAGCUAUAUGAAACCAAAAUAUUAAUGCAAAUUGGCAUUUCUAAGUUUAAAGCAGUAUUUGCAUAACAGGAACCAAACGUGGUGCAAGCUGAAAGCGAGCACACAACACAAAAUGCCUCUUAACACCGUAAUUAUUGCAAGGAAAAAAUGAUGGUUUGUGCACACCAUCAUGAGCUCAAGGAUAAAGCAUCUGCCACUUUGCGACACUGUUAUCUCCCGAUGCCCAGUCUCACCAAGAAAAGAGGGUCUGAAAAGACUGCACUCGCUGGGGCUGAUAAACAAGAUAGGUACAAAACGCGAUUUCAAAAAAUACCAACGCCUUUAUGCAAAUAUGACUGUAGGAACUAAAAAUUACAAGAGGCAGUUGAAUGCACGGCUGCCAGUAGCACUGAAAGAUUAGCUUGUUAGUUGAGAGCCACAGGCCAAGCCAAAGGUAUUCCUGUUCUCAUAAAGCAGUCAUUAGCCGUAGUAAUCAGUAUCUGCAAGUAAAUACGGUUAUGAACCAGACUUUGUACUCUGACACAGCAAUAUUUCAAAAAACGUGUCUCUACUGCGAGUGGAAAGGAGCUGUUCAGAAAGCCAAUUACUCCCUACCUAUUAGCAAACGGGCGUCAUCAGCCUGAAGGACAUCUCCACCGCCGCAGCCAGCACUGGGAGGAACCUUGAAAGCCUCACUUGGGGUGCAAACGGGCAGAGAAGGGGGCAAAGCCGGGGGUCUGCAACCGUUGCAGGGCUACAGCUGCCAGAUUGGGUUUUAAAAACAAAGCCGAACAUUGCUGUGUCUCCUUUUUAGAGCUAUCAGGAAGAACAGAAGUCACUCACCUAUUUCUUUCGCGCGCCGUCUGUAAAAAGUUAGCUUUGCGUUGCUACUAGAAUGCCUUGUAUGCUAGCAAAAAGUAAAAAUAAUGCAGGGCUCGGGGGUCCUCCAGCCCCUGUCAGGGUGACCUGCUGCCACCAGGGGCACAGCCUCCUCAGGACCAGGCCUCAGGGCAGCGCAGGCUGCACCCGGGGAGCCCAUGUGGCAGGGAGCGGGGUAAAUCCCCGCUGCUUUAGGGCACCUGGUGCUACUCAUCCCUGUGGUGGGGGCUUGCCUUAAUGGCCUACGGCACCCUACCACCUCCAGCGAACUCUGUGCAAGGUUACUGGGUGCUUUUGUGGCUGGUCACUUCACUCUGACACAGAGGAAACCAAGUCGUGAAACCUUACAGUGGUUCUGAAGUAAACACUAAAGGAACCGAAGUAAAGGUUUCCAACCUUAAAACGCUCCCACCUUCACGCUGAUAGUCGCAAACACAGCACGCACACACACGUGCAGCUGUGUGUUUACACGUCACGCUAUUUUUUAGCAGGUAAGAGCCCCGGGGUCUCCUCCAGCAGGAGCUUUAGCAGGCCAAGUGAAGCACACGAACGCCUCCAGUGACGCCACCGCAGGCGUGUGCGUGCUGACGAGAUCCCGCUCGGUGCUAACGAAGAUUCAAAAAAAACCCACCAAAAACCCCCCCACAGUUCCCUUUUCUGUACACGACAGCUCGACAGAGGCACCCGGUACCUCCCAGCACCGCAGCGGGUGGCCUGGCCGUGAGGCCGGGCCCGGUGUCACGGAGCGCAGGCCCGUAGCCACACCGACCGUCCAGGUGGCCCAGGCCGAGGCAGGAGCCCCGCCACCACCGUCCCCUCAUGGCAUUCAGCUCCCCGAUCGGGCCCAAGCACCCCACACCAGGGCCUAGCAGUGCUCCGAGGGCUCUGAGGCCUACUCGUGAGCCCCCACUGCUGCCCCACGGCCCUACAAGCACCGCGAUCGCCCCCGGGGUCGAAUACGGAGCCAAGGAGCACAGCGAGGGUGGUUUCAUGUGCCUGGAGUUUCUCCACUGGGUCUUUCUUCUCCUCUUCUUUUUUUCCUAGCUCAGUAAAAGUUGCUCUGAAAAAUGGGUAAAGCUAUAAAUAAGGCACUGAGACACCGACAGCAAAUUACCAUCCUAUGAGUUAAUAGCAUACCAAAUUAAAGACCUCAGUCUCGAGCUUUUGAAGACGUACAACUGCGACCUCAAGAUUUUGGCAGAUCUCUGCGUGCAAUCAGAGCAGCCGAACUUAUUUUGCAUGCCGACUUCCACAGAUCUGUGUGUGUGGCUCAGGCAGCGAGAGGGAUUAUCAGAAACAGGCUUCUGCCAGCAGUGAUCAGUACGGGGCUGUCUCUACAUGGGUAAUUCUAUUUUCCCCUACAAGGUGCCCACUCUUGGCUUUGGCAGAGCCAGCGGCCCCUCUCCACGAGACAGAUGUGUGCUGGCACCACGCUCACAGGCACGUUCGCGGGGGGACGGCGCUCCCCGGGAGCGAGCUCGGAUAUUUCUCUCUUCUCCAUGCUGGAGAGAUAGAUGGCCAUCCGUAAAAACGUCCUCAACACCAGCUCCUGACGGUCCUGGAGCUGCGGGACGGCGACAGCCCCCAGCGCCUUCCUGAGCCGAGUGGCCCCCCGACACGUGCUGCUGGGGCGAGAAGGGGCAGACCGGGGGGAAAAUAAAAUAGCAACGAUAAAAAACAAGAGGUGCGGGACUCGUUCCUUCUUUAGCCAGGAGGAGGGCUGCAGGCCGCAGCCUCCCGCUGUCGGUACUCGGGGCAAGAAGACACAAAGCUGCCUCCGAGCUGGACACGGCGAGGGGCUGGGAGCUGGAGGGACUGAGAUUCCCCCAAUGCACUCCCCGGUUGAAGCCGAUUAGCACCAAGGCGCUGUAUUCUAAUGAAGCGCCACAAACAACAUGUGUUCAAGUUCAAAAAUGGCGAGCGGUUCGUAAAGCGCUCGCUUAGGAAGCCGAACCAAAAACGUGCGCGCCGUUUGUUGUUGUUAUUUUUCCUGAUAAAAACUGGGGACGGUGAGCUUCACCCCAGAGCCAGCCUUCACGCACCGGCCGGGACGGCGGGAAAGAACCGCUGUGUCCAGCGGCUGAGCUCCAACCGCGGCGGCUGCCGGCACUGGGGGGCACUGGGGGGCACUGGGAGGCACUGGGAGGCACUGGGGGGCACUGGGGGGCACUGGGGGGCACUGGGAGGCAGUCUGCUGCAGGGUGUCCCCGGUUGGCCCACGGACCCCGGCCGUGUGAUGCUGCCGGGGAUUGCUGCAGGCAGGCAGGCGCCCCACGCUGCCAUGCCUCGCCUUAUUGAAGCUCGCAGCGCUAGCCGGCUCUCUCUUUCAGGUGUUAAUAGAAAAAUCAAUUUUGCAUCCCGGCAGCUGGGAUCACUUGGAGCCUCGCAGCUGUCCGCAUUCCAAAACCGCUCAUUCGAGCGCGCAAGGACGUGCUGCAAACGCGGCGCCGUGCGAAGAUGGCUGAUCUGUCCCCGCUGCUGCCUGUGCCAGCUCCGCUCCCGGCACGGCUGGCACCGGCACCACGCGCGGCCCCGGCACCGCCGCGGCAGCGAGGUUGUGAACGGCAGGAAGUACGUUCUGCUCGCUGGUCGUGCUCCCCCUCUGCCGUAGCUGGAGGGGGUUUUUUAAUUCUGGGAAUAGCGCUAAUUCGGAAAAAUCUCGAGUCAGACAGCCACUGCGAAACUGCGGAUGUAUUUAUGCAAACGUUUCGCUGUGAAGCUGGAGGGGAUGUAAGAGAGAUGCGGGCUGUAUCAGGUGUUCAGAAAGCACCGGGAUUCAAGUCGUUCUGCGACUCCGAAUCUGCAGCCGUCUCCGCACCUCAAACCACCACCACUAAAAAGACAUCUCCAGCUUCACCGCUCCUUCUUCGGCUCUUAAACCCUACCUAUCCUGCAUGGGAACGGAGCAGCCGAGCCGCGAGAUUUCCUUCUCCCCGUUUCUGACAAUUAAAGACUGGGAGAAGCCGGGAGCACGACGACGGCGAGCACGGAGCCGAGGCAGAGGACGGGCAACCACGAGGCGCCGGGGCGGGGAGGUGCCGAUGGCAGCGGGCACACGAGGAGCAUCUGCGGGGAGCAGCACUCGGCAAAAUUGCAUUAAAGCGGCUUCAGCGUUACCUAGCCGGGACUCGCGCCUACGGUAACGUUCCCUGCUGCUCGUAACCCUUGGGAAAAGAGGCCCUUGGUGCUCAUCGUGGGACAGGGGCAUCCGUCCCCACGUCUACCUGCCACUGCAUCCGCUGGCGGGGACCUCAGGCAGCAGGUACCAGAACGCACGACUUCUCCCUGUGUUUGCAUCGGUUCUCCGAUGGCGUAAGAUUUCCGAACGCCUUUUCUGCAAGAGUGAGCUUCUGCAAAGCAAAAACUACGCCGCAAAUACGUCGGCGUGCCCCUUCCACCGCUCACAACGAGAGCCCAAGGAAGCAGCCCCCAGCCCGAGCUGCUCCUCCGCGAGCUGCACUGUAAUAACAGCUGGCUGCAUACGAUGCACGAGGCCCUUUCCGUGAGGCUGCGGGCUGCGUCUUCCGGGAGGAGGGACCGCGCCGGGCACGGAUUUCCAGGGCAAAAAGCAAUCCAGCAGGGCUCAGAGCAGGGCUCGGCCAGACGCUGCACGACAAACUCCUCCAGCUGCAAUGAGAGGGCCGCCGGGCGAGCAGGGAGCUGCUGUCACAGCCCCGAGGCUUGCUUGCGUCCUGGCCACCGACUGCCACAGGGUCCCCGCUGCUGCCCGCGGGGGGACGGAGCCGGCGCUGCCGGGACCCCUCUGCGCCCGCGGCCGCAGCAGCAGCAGCAGCAGCAGCGGUGCCCUGCCUGCAGCCGAGCCGGGCUCCGCGGUGCCGCGGUGCUGCAGCUCAUGUGCUUCUCAUUACAGGCUUUGCGGGCGUUUUAAAGAACAAUUCGAUCCCGCGCACACAUGGGUUCUCACACCAGCCCCACUCCUGUUCAGACACCUAAUAAAGCCCUGCAGGUGCACGAAAUUGCCUCCGCCGCAAGUUUUUUUUUUCUUUUUCUUUCCUUUUUUUUUUUUUUAACGUUAUUAAUUUUAUAGGCAAAGCUCGGGUCCUUGCAGGGGAAGGAAUUGGAAACUUGGGUACCAAACUGCACGCUGCAAACUGCAGCCGGAGGAUAUUUGUGGCAGGCAGGUUUCAGGUUGAGAUGCUGCACGCUGGAUUUCACGGGCUGCUUUGGGACGAGCUGAGGGGAUGUCGCUGGUGGAGCUCUGCCCCAGAGGAGCGGACACGCAGCAGCACGGGAGGACGAACCCCAAAGGCUCGAGGGCUGAUUCUGCUCCUCCUGCAGCCGACCUGAAACCUCCCUUUGGCUUCCAGGAGGUAACGCCGUGACAAUACCUCCUCAGAAACCAAAACCAAAACCAAGUAACGCGCACGGAACUUACAAAUGAAGAGGCACGAAUUUCGGAAGCUUCCCAAAGCGAGGCCUAUCCUAAGGUUGGGGGCAGAAAUAUUUCCCAGUGAAAUGCGUGCUUUGGGAUUUUUGAAUGCCAGGAGGAAAGCCGUAUGCUCAGUAUUGCCGAAUACCUGCUCAGGUGAGGGGACGCGUUCCCCCCGUUAAAUCCCAAGAGAUUUAAAUAAAACUUUUUUAAUAAGCCCGAGCUUUUUGCACCGUGAAAGAAGCACACAAGGGAAUGGGGAGGUCGUUUCUGACGGCGUGACCUCAGCUCUCCGUGGCAGCCUGCCUUCCGACCAGCCCAGCUGCAAUAAACCGCUGAGAUAAAAACGUCGGGGCCGGAGUGGCCACCGGCAGUCCCCUGCAGCGCCCGACUGCCCGCCAGGUGCCUGCCAGCAGCAGUGCAGCACGAUUUGGUUAGUGGGUGCUGGCACUGGCACACCCAACUACACAGCGGUGCUGCUGGAUUUGUGAAAGGCGCAUUUUAAACUCGCUUUUAGCAGCUUCGCAGAAGCCCGACUGGAAAAAUAGCGAAAUGGUUAAAAAACAGCUCCCCCGUGCCCGGGCAGUGCAGCAGGGAAGGGAGCUGGAGGCUGUGCAUCACAGACAGCGACCCGAAAAACGAGCACGGAACUUCUCACCUGAUCAGCUUCACGCAAACCUUACCCCCCGCCUUUUUUUUUUUUUUUUUUUUAAUUAGAAAAUAAUAAAAAAAGCAGCAGGAAGGCAGGCCAGCCCGGAGCAGGCAGCUCGUGCCCCUCUCCUGCCACCACGUCGGCUGCAAAACUUCACGGGCUGGUUAAAAAAAAACCAACAACAAGUUCCACUAGCAAUGCACCGUCAUAAAAUGAGAAAGAAAGUGGCCGAAACGUUCCCUUUUCAAAAGAAAUUCCCUGUAUGAAAUAAGCAAAUCCCAUGUCUCUAAAGUGCCACGGCAAUUUUACAGUAAACCAAGUUUAAUGCAAACCAGAUUUAUGCUGAAACAGGAAACAAACAAUUCUUCUGCACAAUUUCCUGUAGAUCAAUUGGAAAGGUAUUUAAAGACUGCACCAGCUAUUAGAUCUUUUGUUAACCCCCCCAGCCCUGCCCACAAAAAAGCAGCUCGGAACACACACUGUUCGGGGAUGUCAACACCAGGCCGUAAUUCGCCGUGUCUCCCAUCAAUCAAUAGCCGAAUAAGGUUCUAUUUAGAAUCCCUUUUUUAGAAAAUAAAUAAAUAAAUUGGAAAAAAAAAAGAAAAAAAAAGAAAAAAACACCCGACCACAGUCAUUUCCAAACUGGCACAGCUGAGGACGUGCAGUUCAUUUCUGACCGGCACAUGCAAAGCAUAUUUAAAUCCCGGGUUCAGCCUAACAUCCUGCAAGGGCAUUAAGCGUCAGAAAUUCUUGAAAUGUUUUCGAAAAGCCCAGCUUUGCCACCGUAAGGCCGCCUCAAUUUCUAGCGGGUACGACGGGAAGAAAGCGAUGGGAUCUGUCAGAGCCAGUCUGCGCUGCCCGGUGGGGUUUGACGAGCCUGAAAUCGGCGCUUUUAAAUUGGUUUUGGUUCUGCAGGCUCGCGGGUUCAGAACAAACUUGCUCCGGCCCCCUGCCCUUCCUCCCGGAUGUAAAGCGCACAAGCACCGCUCCGGUCAAAACCUCCACAUUCGUAACUCGCACAAUUUUUCUUUUCCCUCCUUCUCGGGAGGGAGCUUCCAAGAACCUCUUGAUUUACGAGAUAAACGCGCAGCCUCGCCGCGACCCCCCCAGACAACGGGCCAGCCUUCCAGCCGUCUUGGCCUCGAACCACGGCCCCGAAAAGCGGCGACCGUCCCGCCACGCACGCGGCCACCUCCACGCACGCGCCCGCACGCCCCGCGGAGCCCGAAGCCCCGGCCGGCUACCCGGGUCGCCGACGGAGGCAAAAGCUCUCCCCGCGCUUAGGAACCCGCUUGGAAGUACCUCGUAACUUUGGCCGAUAAAUAUUUUGAUA